rnacentral:SRP_RNA from 1 species
GCCGGGCAUGGUGGUGCAUGCCUGUAGUCCCAGCUUCUCGGGAGGCUGAGGUGGGAGGAUCACUUGGGCCCAGGAAUUCUGGGCUAUAGUGCGCUAUGUCGAUCAGGUGUCCAAACUAAGUUCGGCAUCAAUAUGGUGACCUCCGGGAGUGGGGGACCACCAGGUUGCCUAAGGAGGGGUGAACUGGCUCAGGUCGGAAAUGGAGCAGGUCAAAACUCCCGUGCUGAUUAGUAGUGGGAUCACACCUGUGAAUAGCCCCUGCGCCCCAGUCUGGGCAACAUAUAUAUAUAUUU